GGCCCCAGAGAUCUGGGAAAAGGGUAGGACAUCUGGGAAUAGAGAAAUGAGGGAGAGGCCGGAAUUUUGCCUAGAACAGGAGCCAUAGAUUGCCUGGGGCUGCUUUGUCCACAGACGUUUACUGAGUGCCUAGGGUGUGCCAGGCCCCAUUCUGCAGUGCUGGAGAUGGGAGUUCACAUCCUAGUAGGGGAAGACAGUAAAUGGCUAAAGAAGUAAAAUAACUUCAGAGUGGUAAGUGCCCUGAGGACCGUGGGAUGGGAUAGUACUGUGGAAGGGACACGCCAUGAGAAGGGGUGGCUGGGGAGGGCCUCCCGGAGCCACAACCUGGGGGCUGACCCAGAGGGAACCAAGGGUUCUGCCAUCAGGGGAGACAGUUUUCCAGGCAGAGGGAGCUGCUGAAGCAAAGACCCUGAUGGGAGACCUGGCUCUGACACCUUCGAUAAGGAACAGAAAGAAGGUCGCUGUGGCCAGAGCUGCGUGGAUAGAAGGCAAACCUCCGGUGAGUGGUUCAGAUGGGGGCGUCAUGCUUGGGUGUGAACACAACCCCUCGGGAACAGGAUUCGCCAGGUUGGGGACUCGGUUCCUGUGAUUUAAUAAUCCCCGCAGGCGGCUGUCAGUAGCACCUAGGGCCCUUGAAGUCCCCGAAUGAGCCAUGGCCUGUGGUCAGAGGGCAAGCCCGCACUACCUCCUGCCUCAACUCGCCUUGCCUUCACAUCAUGCCCAGACACUUCUAUUUCUGACUUCAAGGCCUUGGUGUUGCCACCCAUUCCCGGUUUGGGGUGCAUUCCUCCAGCUACGCAUGGACAGACAUAUCUGCAACCUUGUCAUAGUUAUCAGAUUAGUCCCAUUUUACAGAUGAGGAAACUGCAGCACAGAAAGGUGGAAGUCUUCAUCUAAGAUCACAGAGCUGCUCCUGGAGGGAUCCAAGAUUCUAAUCCAGAUCCUCUAACUCACAGGUCAGCGCAUUCUUUCUGCUACGCCCCAUGUGUAAAAUUUUGUGGAUAAAGAAACCGAGGCUCAUGGAGGUCACCGAGCUGUCACACCACACAGCUUGCAUCCCAGUCCCGGAGAGGCAGUGGGUAACCGGGCUCUCAGGGAGGCGAGCGCGAGGACACCCGCUGGCCCGGGGUCCCAUGGCUCAUCCCGCUGCAGCGCGCAGCUCCUCCCUGCGCGGGGCUCGCCCACGCCGAUCCGCGCCCCUUGCGCAGCCCGC